UACGUAGGAUGCGAGCGUUGUCCGGAGUUAUUGGGCGUAAAGAGCACGUAGGCGGUUUUGUAAGUGUGGUGUGAAAUCUUCGGGCUUAACUCGGAGCGGUCGCCGCAAACUGCAAGACUUGAGGGCAGGAGAGGAAGAUAGAAUUCCAGGUGUAGCGGUGAAAUGCGUAGAUAUCUGGAGGAACACCGGUGGCGAAGGCGGCAUCCUGGACCGGCAUUGACGCUGAGGAGCGAAAGCGUGGGGAGCGAACAGG
rnacentral:rRNA from 1 species